rnacentral:rRNA from 2 species
CAUAUCAAUAAGCGGAGGAAAAGAAACUAACGAGGAUUCCCCUAGUAACUGCGAGUGAAGAGGGAAAAGCUCAAAUUUAAAAUCUGGCAGUCUUUGGCUGUCCGAGUUGUAAAUUAGAGAAGUGUUAUCCGCUCAAGCCUGUGCAAAAGUCUCUUGGAAAAGGGCAUCAUAGAGGGUGACAAUCCCGUCUUUGGCACAGAUCACUUGCGCUUUUGUGAUGCGCUCUCGAUGAGUCGAGUUGUUUGGGAAUGCAGCUCCAAAUGGGUGGUAAAUUCCAUCUAAAGCUAAAUAUGGGCGAGAAACCGAUAGCGUACAAGUACCGUGAGGGAAAGAUGAAAAGAACUUUGAAAAGAGAGUUAAACAGUAUGUGAAAUUGUUGAAAGGGAAACGCUUGAAGUCAGUCGUAUCCUUCAGAAUCCACCCUGACCCCAUGGUUGGGCAUACUUUUUGUUGGAUGGGUCAGCAUCAAUUUUGAUCAUCAGAUAAAGGACUUGGGGAAUGUGGCAUCUUUAGAUGUGUUAUAGCCCUGGUUUGUAUAUGAUGAUUGGGAUUGAGGAACUCAGUGUGACUUUGGUUUGGGGGUAUUAAUUACCUCACACACACACUUAGGAUGUUGGCAUAAUGGCUUUAAUCGACCCGUCUUGAAACACGGACCAAGGAGUCUAACAUACAUGCAAGUGUUUGGGUGGAAAACUCAAGCGCGUAAUGAAAGUGAAAGUUGAGAACCCUGUCGUGGGGUGCACCGACGCCCGGUCUUGAGCUUUUGUGACGGACCUGCGGUAGAGCAUGCAUGUUGGGACCCGAAAGAUGGUGAACUAUGCCUGAAUAGGGUGAAGCCAGAGGAAACUCUGGUGGAAGCUCGUAGCGAUUCUGACGUGCAAAUCGAUCGUCAAAUUUGGGUAUAGGGGCGAAAGACUAAUCGAACCAUCUAGUAGCUGGUUCUGC